rnacentral:rRNA from 1 species
UACGUAGGGGCAAGCGUUGUCCGGAUUUAUUGGGCGUAAAGAGCGUGUAGGCGGCCAUACAGGUCAGCUGUGAAAACUCGAGGCUCAACCUCGAGACGUCGGUUGAAACCGUUUGGCUAGAGUCCGGAAGAGGAGAGUGGAAUUCCCGGUGUAGCGGUGAAAUGCGCAGAUAUCGGGAAGAACACCCGUGGCGAAGGCGGCUACUCGUGGGACGGU